rnacentral:rRNA from 1 species
UACGGAGGGUGCGAGCGUUAAUCGGAAUUACUGGGCGUAAAGGGUGCGUAGGUGGUUUGAUAAGUUAGCUGUGAAAUUCCUGGGCUUAACCUAGGGUGGUCAGCUAAGACUGUUAGACUUUGAGUAUAGGAGAGGGUAGUGGAAUUUCCGGUGUAGCGGUGAAAUGCGUAGAGAUCGGAAGGAACACCAGUGGCGAAGGCGGCUACCUGGCCUAAUACUGACACUGAGGCACGAAAGCGUGGGGAGCAAACAGG